AUGGCGAAUUCUCGCAUUGCAAGGUUUUUCAUGGAAGUGGCACCACCACAAUAUGUUAGUGUGAUGAGGCAUAGAACAUCAAAGAUGAUGGAAACAAUCACUGAAGAGGAUAGAGAAAUUAGCUUGAAUGAUGGUGUAACUUCACCACCAAAAAUUCCAUCCGCAAUUUCAGCUUCUUCUACCAAUGCAAGUGUUAAUACUGGGUACUUUUUGAAGGAAGUUCAUAGAACACUCUCAAGUAUGAAUAACUAG